UAUUGUUGGCCAAAGGCCUGGAUUGCCUUG
rnacentral:piRNA from 1 species